GACGAACGCUGGCGGCGUGCUUAACACAUGCAAGUCGAACGGAAAGGCCCUGCUUUUGUGGGGUGCUCGAGUGGCGAACGGGUGAGUAACACGUGAGUAACCUGCCCUUGACUUUGGGAUAACUUCAGGAAACUGGGGCUAAUACCGGAUAGGAGCUCCUGCUGCAUGGUGGGGGUUGGAAAGUUUCGGCGGUUGGGGAUGGACUCGCGGCUUAUCAGCUUGUUGGUGGGGUAGUGGCUUACCAAGGCUUUGACGGGUAGCCGGCCUGAGAGGGUGACCGGCCACAUUGGGACUGAGAGACGGCCCAGAAUCCUACGGGAGGCAGCAGUGGGGAAUAUUGCACAAUGGGCGGAAGCCUGAUGCAGCAACGCCGCGUGCGGGAUGACGGCCUUCGGGUUGUAAACCGCUUUCGCCGGUGACGAAGCGUGAGUGACGGUAAUGUGUAAAGAAGCACCGGCUAAAUACGUG
rnacentral:rRNA from 1 species